rnacentral:rRNA from 1 species
UACGAACCGUGCGAACGUUAUUCGGAAUCACUGGGCUUAAAGGGCGCGUAGGCGGGCCGCCAGGUCCGGGGUGAAAGCCUCCAGCUCAACUGGAGGAGUGCCUUGGAUACCGGCGGCCUCGAGGGAGGCAGGGGCGUGCGGAACUUCGGGUGGAGCGGUGAAAUGCGUAGAUAUCCGAAGGAACACCGGUGGCGAAAGCGGCGCGCUGGACCUCUUCUGACGCUGAGGCGCGAAAGCCAGGGGAGCAAACGGG